rnacentral:misc_RNA from 1 species
UCCGGUUUGUCACCGGCAGUCUGGUGUGAGUCCCCAACUUAAUGCUGGCAACACACCACAGGGGUUGCGCUCGUUGCGGGACUUAACCCAACACCUCACGGCACGAGCUGACGACAACCAUGCACCACCUGUAUACGGCCCCGAAGGACACCACAUCUCUGUGGCUUUUCCGUAUAUUUCAAGCCCUGGUAAGGUUCUUCGCGUUGCAUCGAAUUAAGCCAUAUGCUCCACCGCUUGUGCGGGCCCCCGCCAAUUCCUUUGAGUUUUAAUCUUGCGAUCGAAGUUCCCAGGUGGUUCACUUAAUGCGUUAGCUGCGGCACCGAGGCAAAGCCCCGACACCUAGUGAACAUCGUUUAUGGCUAAGACUAC